rnacentral:lncRNA from 1 species
CAACUUGGCUUCUCACACUUGCAAAAAGGAGUCCUAGCUGACACAGGGGUACAGGCCCCUAACCCACUGAAGCCAAAUCUCCGGGAAGAUAUAUUUACACUAAGAGAGAGAGAGAGUCAUGGAUUACCUUCAUGCCAACACUGACCAAGCCAGUCAUCCUUCACUGGGGGGGUUGGAUGGUUGUGCCCAGUGUCAUGAAAGAUUAUCACAAAAGACCUGAUGUCAGGGACAACAAUAACAACAGCAAGAAUUAUUUAGGUUCUGGAAUACAUUUCAUCUGAGGUUUACGAAGCCUUUGACAGCAAAAUUAAGUCUGACAUCACUCCCCAGGUUAACAAAGCAAUGUUGCAGUCUUCGC